GUCAUCUCACAAGAAAAUAUAUCAGCAGGAAAGCUUAUCAAAGACUGAUGAGCUGCUGAUUGACAUUAGAAGAAUCAAUAAAGUCAGACAAGAGCAGGCACCAGUAUUUGAAGUGAACGUGGUUCUUCGCAAUAUAUCCGCUCAGGAACUGGCUGAAAAAGGGGAUCAUUACAAAGGAGAUACCACCUGCGCUGUAGAAAACGCAGAAGUAAAGAAACAAGUGACUUUUAAUCCAGAGGAAGCAGAGUUCUGCGGGUCUGAAGAAUCUGAUGAGGAAGAGGAGGCAGC